rnacentral:misc_RNA from 1 species
GAUGAAGAACGUAGCGAAAUGCGAUAAGUAGUGUGAAUUGCAGAAUUCAGUGAAUCAUCGAAUCUUUGAACGCACAUUGCGCCUCCUGGUAUUCCGGGAGGCAUGCCUGUUCGAGCGUCAUUACAACCCUCAGGCCCCCGGGCCUGGCGUUGGGGAUCGGCGGAGCCCCCCGUGGGCACACGCCGUCCCCCAAAUGCAGUGGCGGUCCCGCCGCAGCUUCCAUCGCGUAGUAGCUAACACCUCGCGACUGGAGAGCGGCGCGGCCACGCCGUAAAACACCCGACUCUUCUGAAGUUGACCUCGAAUCAGGUAGGAAUACCCGCUGAACUUAAGCAUAUCAAUAAGCGGAGGA